UGGGGAAUCUUGCACAAUGGGGGCAACCCUGAUGCAGCGACGCCGCGUGAACGAUGAAGCCCUUCGGGGUGUAAAGUUCUUUCGACGGGAACGAUAAUGACGGUACCCGGAGAAGAAGCUGCGGCUAACUACGUGCCAGCAGCCGCGGUAAUACGUAGGCAGCGAGCGUUGUUCGGAGUUACUGGGCGUAAAGAGUGCGUAGGCGGUUAGCCAAGUUUGGUGUGAAAUCUCCCGGCUCAACUGGGAGGGUGCGCCGAAAACUGGUUAGCUAGAGUAUGGGAGAGGAAAGCGGAAUUCCUGGUGUAGCGGUGAAAUGCGUAGAUAUCAGGAGGAACACCUGUGGUGUAGACAGCUUUCUGGACCAUAACUGACGCUGAGGCACGAAAGCGUGGGUAGCAAACA
rnacentral:rRNA from 1 species